rnacentral:rRNA from 1 species
UACGUAGGAGGCAAGCGUUGUCCGGAAUCACUGGGCGUAAAGCGCGUGUAGGCGGAUCGCUAAGUCUGUGGUGAAAGCGCCUGGCUUAACCGGGCGAGGUCCAUGGAAACUAGCGGUCUGGAGGCCGGUAGAGGGGGGUGGAAUUCCGGGUGUAGUGGUGAAAUGCGCAGAUAUCGGGAGGAACACCAAUGGCGAAGGCAGCUCGCUGGGACGUGACUGACGCUGAGACGCGAAAGCGUGGGGAGCAAACAGG